rnacentral:rRNA from 1 species
UACGUAGGCAGCGAGCGUUGUUCGGAAUUACUGGGCGUAAAGAGUGUGUAGGCGGUGCUCCCAGUCUGUUGUGAAAUCUCCCGGCUUAACUGGGAGGGUGCAGCGGAAACUAGAGUGCUAGAGGGUGGGAGAGGUAAGCGGAAUUCCUGGUGUAGCGGUGAAAUGCGUAGAUAUCAGGAGGAACACCUGUGGUGUAGACAGCUUACUGGACCACUUCUGACGCUGAGGCGCGAAAGCCAGGGGAGCAAACGGG